UGCUGCCUCAGCUGGCGUGAUCUCGUUCUGAAACCAAAUCUGGACCCUGGGCUCCGGAAUGCCGAUGGCCUGGGCAUCGCCCAGGCCACCAGCUCUUCCCUGGUGGCGAUGCCCCGGUACGGGUUCCGCUCAAAGCAGGCUCGCAGGGCCUCCCUUUGGCUCGGGGUCCAAACGAGUCUCCUUCGCCGUCCUCCCCCUCGGGCUUCCGCCUGGAGGGCGCUGUCGGAAGAGGUCGGGAGAGCCAUGGCGGGGAGACCUGGCCGGAAUUUCGCGGACAGACACGUACAGAGAGGCCGGCGGGCUCCCGUGCCCCUCAGUCGGCCUGUGCACGGCGCGCAGGUCCAGCCAGGAGGCCGGCCCAGCCGGCCAGCGGCCCUUAUAAAGGCCCACAGGCUUCACCCCUUCAGGAACGCGGAAGGAGCCCCUGGGAAAAGAAAAGACAGAAAAUCAUUUUUGGAUACUUGCAUUUUCAGCAUAAAGACUUUUCUAAAGGUUAGUUUUACAAAGAUAUUCCCGUAAGUGAUUCAUCAAAUAACUCACUUACUUGAAUGGUGUUCAUUCAUCUUUUAUUUCUAAUGAGCAGGCCUCUGAUAUGAUAACUGAAGUCAUAACCAUAGCCUUGGUUAGCUACUUUGCUGGGCAAUAGUGUUGAGCUACCAAUCAUCUCAGUCUAAGGGGAUUCCUGCAAAGUGAAACUUCUUGCUCCUUUCAUCAUAUUCUUAUCGGAAACAAUCCCAAAAACCUGGGUGAUGCCAUGUGAGAACAUGACUCUCCCUGGCAAAAAAAGGCUAUAGGGAGCACAGGAUAAACCAGAUCCUCAUAAAACUACAUAGCAGCUUAUGUGUGAAAAGCCAUACUAGAUUCACACAUUUUUGAAAAGUAUUAUUGAUGCAUUUCUCAUUGUUCAUUCAAAUUAUUCUGCCUUCUUUUGCCUUUUACUUCUCAUAAUUAGAGUUACCUCUUCCCAAAACAUGCGGAAGAUUUUAAAACUAUCCAUCUGUUAUCUCAUAUUUCCCCCAGUCCCUCCUAUUAGUUCAUUUUCAAUUUCGACUCCAAAAGACCACACUGGCAGCUUACCUCUCUGUCUAUGGCCUCCAGGAGGCUCCUAACUACUUGUCUUCAUUUCCUUGCUUAUCCUCACAUUUAUCUUUCCAUCUGGAAAAAAAUUAUGCUGUCAUAGAGAAGAAACCCUGUUGAUAACUGAAGUCAUAAUAAAACAUUUCUGAUAAAUAUUUUCUCAUACCUUUUAUUGCCACAGGAGCUUUUCAUUAAGCAAUCGUAAUUCAAAACAGAUCAGAGCACGGACACAGGAGCUGGACAGUUUGAUUCAUUUGGUUUGACCAAUUUCUAUAUUUGUGAUCUUGGACAAAUUGCUCAGCUGCUCUGUCCUUCAGGUUUUUUCUUUUUUUUAAAUGAACACGAGCAUAGUGCUUAGCAAAGUAGCUGUCUCAUAGUAACUACUAUAAAAAUGAUAAUAUUUUUAUUUGCAGAGAAACAAAAUACCAUCAUCAUGAAGGCAUGGAUCAGACAUCUUCUCCACUGAGUUCUUUCAGGUUCUCAGGGAAAAUCUGGUUGAUUAGGAAGAUUCCUGGUAAUGUGUCUUUCAGAAAAAAACAAUUUAAUUUACAUACAUAGCUUAAUUUUGUGUACUAAACAAUUUUAAAAUUUCCAUGGAUGUACGUGUUUUGGAAAUAUAUUAUGGUAGUGUUUCUAAGACGUUUAGGAGUUAAUUAGCCAAGUUUUGUGGUGCAUGCCUGAAGGCCCAGCUACUAAGGAGGCUGAGGUGGGAGGAUCACCUGGUCUCCUUGGGAGGUCAAGGCUGCAGUGGGUUGUGAUCUUGCCACUGCACUCCAGGCUGGAUGAGAAAAAAAGACCAUGUCUCAAAAAAAAAAAAAAAAAAAAGAAAGAAAGAAAGAAAGAAAGAAGAAAAGGAAAGAAAAGAAAACAAUGCCCACCCCAUGGGUUUAUAUUUUCUUCUUCGGAUUUUUGUUUGUUUGCUUUGUUUAUGCUUUUGAUUUUAGGGGGCAGCAGCUUCCCUAAAAUGCUAGAAGCCCACAGCAGAUUCAGAUCUACCAAAUAUAGUUUCGUUUUCUUCUACUGUUUUGCUUUGGAAAAAUGUUGAAAGAUAUUGAAUACUUAUAUACUGUGCUGGGUUUUGUUUCGUUAAUAUUUCCCAUCUCAUAUUUUAGAUAUAAAUAAAAAUUACAAUACUACUUGAUAUCUUUCUAAUCCCAAGCAUUCAUUUUUACUUUCUAUAUUUUAAACAUUACUGUUUCUUUAAUUGCUAUACCAUAAAUAUUUACAGGUUUUGAAUGAUAUGUACAGCACAUUUCUAAAUAUUUUAGGCAAUUGUCAAGACAACGCUGAUAGUCAGAGAAAGAUUCGUGGAGACAUGAAUCUUUCAUGAAUUCGUGGAGACACGAAAAGGGAUUUCAGGUCAGAAAAUCAGUAUCUAAAUAGACUUAAAUAAGUGAUUUUUUUUCAAAUAUGGUCAAUGGAAUGUAAAUUUUAUUAUGUACAUGCUUCUAUUAUGUAAAUUGUAUUAUUUUUAUGGCUACUAUAUAGCCAUAGGAAGAAUAUAACCAUGAAGAAGAAGAAAGUGAGGUAUCAAAAAACUGUGAUGAGAAUAGAAUCUUGGGGAAGUAAAAGUAAACCUCAAGGAAAGGGGAUUAAUAAACAGUAGUUGCUUCUACUAGUGUACUCUUGGAGAUUGUAGGUUCAGAAACCAACAUUAACACUUUUGAUAGUGAAUUUUGGAAAGCUUACAAAAUCACUGCAACUUGUCUUCAGCCAUAGGUCUGAUUCCUUGGAAACUUAUGGAAAAUACAUUGUACUGGGUAUAUUAACUUUCAACAAACUAACAUCUGGAGAUGUCUAGAGCUUCCUUUUUAGUCAACAUCUGCCAAAAAUGAUUUAGCCUUGGGAAUCAAAUCUAAAACCAACCAAAUCUCUGAGAUUCCUUUAGUGAUCAAGAAUAUGGGUAUUUUUUAUGUGAAUACAUCUUGACUUGGGUCUAGGUUUCUGUUUAAACCUGUGCUAGAAUCUCUGUCUGUAACACAGGUCAACAGCACUACAUCCCAAGAAUAAUGCUUGAAAAUAAUUAAUCAGUUCAUUUACUACUUAUAUGGUAAUUUGCUGUGCCAGAAAUUUGCCAGAAUUUCUGAAAAUGAGAUAGUUCAGAGAACGAGAUGCAACUUUCUUAUUAAAUUUUAAAAAAAUAGGUAAUAUAAUGACUUUCGCACAGAUAUAAAUUACUUCAUAAAAUAUCUUAUUCAGGCCGGGCGCGGUGGCUCAAGCCUGUAAUCCCAGCACUUUGGGAGGCCGAGACGGGGGGAUCACGAGGUCAGGAGAUCGAGACCAUCCUGGCUAACACGGUGAAACCCCGUCUCUACUAAAAAUACAAAAAGUAGCCGGGCGAGGUGGCGGGCGCCUGUAGUCCCAGCUACUCGGGAGGCUGAGGCAGGAGAAUGGCGUAAACCCGGGAGGCGGAGCUUGCAGUGAGCUGAGAUCUGGCCACUGCACUCCAGUCCGGGCGACAACGCAAGACCCCCCCUAAAAAAAAAAAAAAAUCUUAUUCAUUACUGAAGAAACCAGUAAAAUAUUACAAUUGGAUAAAAAUAGAUUUCAAAAUGCC
ensembl:lincRNA